rnacentral:hammerhead_ribozyme from 1 species
AGCUGGAAGACGAGUCCCAAACAGGACGAAAGCGCAUCCUGGAU